rnacentral:rRNA from 1 species
GGUUAAGUUAAUAAGGGCGCACGGUGGAUGCCUUGGCACUAGGAGCCGACGAAGGACGUGACAAACGACGAUAUGCCUUGGGUAGCUGUAAGUAAGCGAUGAUCCAGGGAUUUCCGAAUGGGGGAACCCAACAGGUAAUACCUGUUACCUACAUCUGUUAAGGAUGUGAGGAGGAAGACGCAGUGAACUGAAACAUCUAAGUAGCUGCAGGAAGAGAAAGCAAAAGCGAUUGCCUUAGUAGCGGCGAGCGAAACGGCAGAAGGGCAAACCGAAGAGUUUACUCUUCGGGGUUGUAGGACUGCAAUGUGGACUCAAAGAUUAUAGAAGAAUGAUUUGGGAAGAUCAGCCAAAGAGAGUAAUAGCCUCGUAUUUAAAAUAGUCUUUGUACUUAGCAGUAUCCUGAGUACGGCGGGACACGUGAAAUCCCGUCGGAAUCUGGGAGGACCAUCUCCCAACCCUAAAUACUCCCUAGUGACCGAUAGUGAACCAGUACCGUGAGGGAAAGGUGAAAAGCACCCCGGGAGGGGAGUGAAAUAGAACCUGAAACCGUGUGCCUACAACAAGUUCGAGCCCGUUAAUGGGUGAGAGCGUGCCUUUUGUAGAAUGAACCGGCGAGUUACGUUAUGAUGCGAGGUUAAGUUGAAGAGACGGAGCCGUAGGGAAACCGAGUCUGAAUAGGGCGCCUUAGUAUCAUGACGUAGACCCGAAACCAUGUGACCUACCCAUGAGCAGGUUGAAGGUGCGGUAAGACGCACUGGAGGACCGAACCAGGGCACGUUGAAAAGUGCUUGGAUGACUUGUGGGUAGCGGAGAAAUUCCAAACGAACUUGGAGAUAGCUGGUUCUCUCCGAAAUAGCUUUAGGGCUAGCGUCGACAUUAGAGAUUCUUGGAGGUAGAGCACUGUUUGGGUGAGGGGUCCAUCCCGGAUUACCAAUCUCAGAUAAACUCCGAAUGCCAAUGAAUUAUGGUCGGCAGUCAGACUGCGAGUGCUAAGAUCCGUAGUCGAAAGGGAAACAGCCCAGACCACCAGCUAAGGUCCCAAAAUAAUUGUUAAGUGGAAAAGGAUGUGGGGUUGCACAGACAACUAGGAUGUUAGCUUAGAAGCAGCUAUUCAUUCAAAGAGUGCGUAAUAGCUCACUAGUCGAGUGACCCUGCGCCGAAAAUGUACCGGGGCUAAAACAAUUUACCGAAGCUGUGGAUACCUUUAUAGGUAUGGUAGGAGAGCGUUCUAUGUGUGAUGAAGGUAUACCGUGAGGAGUGCUGGAACGCAUAGAAGUGAGAAUGCCGGUAUGAGUAGCGAAAGACAGGUGAGAAUCCUGUCCACCGUAAGACUAAGGUUUCCAGGGGAAGGCUCGUCCGCCCUGGGUUAGUCGGGACCUAAGGAGAGACCGAAAGGUGUAUCCGAUGGACAACAGGUUGAUAUUCCUGUACUAGAGUAUGUAGUGAUGGAGGGACGCAGUAGGCUAACUAAAGCAGACGAUUGGAAGAGUCUGUCUAAGCAGUGAGGUGUGAAUUGAGUCAAAUGCUUAAUUCUAUAACAUUGAGCUGUGAUGGGGAGCGAAGUUUAGUAGCGAAGUUAGUGACGUCACACUGCCAAGAAAAGCUUCUAGCGUUUAAACAUACUCUACCCGUACCGCAAACCGACACAGGUAGUCGAGGCGAGUAGCCUCAGGUGAGCGAGAGAACUCUCGUUAAGGAACUCGGCAAAAUGACCCCGUAACUUCGGGAGAAGGGGUGCUGACUUUAAGUCAGCCGCAGUGAAUAGGCCCAAGCAACUGUUUAUCAAAAACACAGCUCUCUGCUAAAUCGUAAGAUGAUGUAUAGGGGGUGACGCCUGCCCGGUGCUGGAAGGUUAAGAGGAGUGCUUAGCGUAAGCGAAGGUAUGAAUUGAAGCCCCAGUAAACGGCGGCCGUAACUAUAACGGUCCUAAGGUAGCGAAAUUCCUUGUCGGGUAAGUUCCGACCCGCACGAAAGGCGUAAUGAUUUGGGCACUGUCUCAACGAGAGACUCGGUGAAAUUUUAGUACCUGUGAAGAUGCAGGUUACCCGCGACAGGACGGAAAGACCCCAUGGAGCUUUACUGCAGUUUGAUAUUGAGUGUCUGUACCACAUGUACAGGAUAGGUAGGAGUCUAAGAGAUCGGGACGCCAGUUUCGAAGGAGACGCUGUUGGGAUACUACCCUUGUGUUAUGGCCACUCUAACCCAGAUAGGUGAUCCCUAUCGGAGACAGUGUCUGACGGGCAGUUUGACUGGGGCGGUCGCCUCCUAAAAGGUAACGGAGGCGCCCAAAGGUUCCCUCAGAAUGGUUGGAAAUCAUUCGCAGAGUGUAAAGGUAUAAGGGAGCUUGACUGCGAGAGCUACAACUCGAGCAGGGACGAAAGUCGGGCUUAGUGAUCCGGUGGUUCCGUAUGGAAGGGCCAUCGCUCAACGGAUAAAAGCUACCCUGGGGAUAACAGGCUUAUCUCCCCCAAGAGUUCACAUCGACGGGGAGGUUUGGCACCUCGAUGUCGGCUCGUCGCAUCCUGGGGCUGUAGUCGGUCCCAAGGGUUGGGCUGUUCGCCCAUUAAAGCGGCACGCGAGCUGGGUUCAGAACGUCGUGAGACAGUUCGGUCCCUAUCCGUCGCGGGCGUAGGAAAUUUGAGAGGAUCUGCUCCUAGUACGAGAGGACCAGAGUGGACUUACCGCUGGUGUACCAGUUGUCUUGCCAAAGGCAUCGCUGGGUAGCUAUGUAGGGAAGGGAUAAACGCUGAAAGCAUCUAAGUGUGAAACCCACCUCAAGAUGAGAUUUCCCAUGAUUAUAUAUCAGUAAGAGCCCUGAGAGAUGAUCAGGUAGAUAGGUUAGAAGUGGAAGUGUGGCGACACAUGUAGCGGACUAAUACUAAUAGCUCGAGGACUUAUCC